rnacentral:rRNA from 1 species
CCCCUAGAUGUUCUGGGCCGCACGCGCGCUACACUGAACAGUUCAACAAGUCUUAACCUUGGCCGAUAGGUCUGGGUAAUCUUUGAACGCUGUUCGUGAUUGGGAUAGACCUUUGCAAUUAUGGGUCUUCAACGAGGAAUUCCUAGUAAACGCAAGUCAUCAGCUUGCAUUGAUUACGUCCCUGCCCUUUGUACACACCGCUCGUCGCACCUACCGAUUGAAUGGUCCGGUGAAAUCUCGGGACGGCGGCUUGGUCGCUUGCGUCCGACUGCUGAAACUUGAUUAAACCAUAUCAUUUAGAGGAAGGUGAANUCGUANCA